rfam:Atopobium vaginae DSM 15829 Contig27.fasta, whole genome shotgun sequence.
CUUAUCUAGGUUUGUGGUUGCGGAAAUGCAUAAGUUCAUUUGGGGCAUUUCUUAGUCCAAGGCAGACGAGGUCAAAAGGAUCCACGUAAAUACAUGUGUGUGCAUAUGUAUGAGCAUGGCUCGUCCUAGGGGUUAGUCAUACCGUCUGUUGAUUUCAAGGCAUACGGCCUUGCAGACGAGAGAGCUUACAGUAUGGGUACUGCGGUAUACCAGCGAAGGCUCCGGUAUGCGAGUGUGGGGUCAAAUACCAGGUCAACUAGGUAAG